AUUGAACGCUGGCGGCAUGCCUUACACAUGCAAGUCGAACGGUAACGGGCCUUCGGGUGCCGACGAGUGGCGAACGGGUGAGUAAUACAUCGGAACGUGCCCGAUCGUGGGGGAUAACGAGGCGAAAGCUUUGCUAAUACCGCAUACGAUCUACGGAUGAAAGCAGGGGACCGCAAGGCCUUGCGCGGACGGAGCGGCCGAUGGCAGAUUAGGUAGUUGGUGGGAUAAAAGCUUACCAAGCCGACGAUCUGUAGCUGAUCUGAGAGGAUGAUCAGCCACACUGGGGCUGAGACACGGCCCAGACUCCUACGGGAGGCAGCAGUGGGGAAUUUUGGACAAUGGGCGCAAGCCUGAUCCAGCCAUGCCGCGUGCAGGAUGAAGGCCUUCGGGUUGUAAACUGCUUUUGUACGGAACGAAAAGCCUUCUUUUAAUACAGGAGGGUCAUGACGGUACCGUAAGAAUAAGCACCGGCUAACUACGUG
rnacentral:rRNA from 1 species